GCCGGGGUAGCUCAGCGGUUAGAGCGCCGCGCUCAUAACGCGGAGGUCGCGGGUUCGAAUCCCGUCCCCGGCA
rnacentral:tRNA from 1 species